rnacentral:misc_RNA from 1 species
AUUGUGCUGUUGUUGCAUUGUGUUGGAAUACGUGCUUUUGCCUCUAUUCCCUUGUCUCCUAUAAACUAAACUGAGUCGAACCUCGCCCGUCUGAACUGAACCAAUACGCUAAAGUAAUGGACCAGUCAUUGACAUUGGAGAGGUUAAAAAGAAAUCAAAUAAAAUGAAUAAUACGGCAAUCUGUUUGAAAUCGAAACAUUAAAUCAUCUCAAUACCAUGAAUUUAUUUUUUUCACCAAAUGAACUUCAGUAUUGAUGGAUAAAUGUAGUACAGAUGCUGAAUUUGAUUCUUAUUGGGAUAAUGAAGCCAAGAACCAAAAUCGAAAUAGAAUAAGAGUUGGACGACAGUAUCAAGCUACAAUACCUCCACUUUUAAAGCCUGGUGAAAAAGAUGGAAGGAAAUUGGAAGACCUAGAAACACUGAAAUGGAAACCGGAUCAGUUAAGUGAUCAGAAGCUUGAGGAGUAUAUGUCUAUGGCAAAAGGCAUUUCUCUAUUUUCCAAAUCAGUAAGCAGCUCAAGAUCACCAGAAAAAUCAGAUAACUCAUUACAAUCAGCUAUUAAAGGCUUGACUGAAUUUGUUGCUUCUCAUCAUCCUUGUCAUCAUGAUGAUGGUUGUCGCCAAGUCCUUAAACCUUCUUCCUCCUCUACUGAAUCAGUUUCUAAAGUUAAUACUAACACCUGGUCACAAUCUGAAGCUCAACUAUUUGCUCAAGCUCUUGAAGCCUGCGGCAAAAAUUUCUCUGCAAUUAAAAAAGAAUUUUUACCCUGGAAACCUGUACGUAGCAUUAUAGAGUAUUAUUACCAGAUUAAAAAUGAAAAAGCUGAAGAAACGGAACCAACUGAUAAAGUUAUCCCUAAAGCAGAAGAAGAACCUAUUCCAUCAUGUUCGCAUGAAGAAAAGCCUUGUGUGAAAGAAGAACCUGUUAAAGUUGAAGAACCGCAGGUGAAAACUGUAAAUACUGAAGAUCCCCCAAAAGAUUCGAUUAAUUUUUUAGAUCAUAGCAGAGUCACCGACCCUUGUUCAGCAGCAUCAGAAACAAGCUUACCUCAAGAUGUACCAGCUACAUCAACCGUUGGAAGCUUGAAAUUUUUUUUAGGAGGUCGUUUAGUACUUAAAUUAAAUGCGCAACAAGACGGUGGCUCUGGGAACAAGUGCCAAUGGGUGCAAUCUAAUGAUUUGCCUAAACAUUCAAAUCACAACAAAAAAGAUAAACAUAAGAAAAAAUUUGCUCCAUAUAGUUAUAGUUCUUCUGGAACUCAAAAGCCUUUGAAAAAAGGGGAUGACACUUCUGCAGUACCAGACUGUGAUCCUUCUGGUAUAAAAAAGCCUAGGCUCAAAGAAUAUGAAACUUCCGAAAAUAGUGCCCUAGGACUUCUCCUCUGCAGUUCCUCCUGGACUCCACCUGUUGCAGAUGGUCAAGAAUCUAUAGACGUAGAUGAUACCUCCUCUAAAACAAGCGAAGGCUAUAUUUCUCCUAUACUUUCCAAUAAUUAUCGAACAUCAAAGAUAGAUACCAUAAAACAUGAUUUUGCUAGCAAUCCCAAUACUUCUAAUGAGCUCGGUGAACAAAAGUGCGAUUCAGACCCGACUUGGGUAAAAACUGAUAACUGUAUUAUUAGUGAUAGUGCCUCAAAAAAUGCUAGCGUUUUAAGUGGCAAAAACUCUCCUAAUCAGUGUUAUAGUUCUCCAAUGAAAAAGGAAGUGCUUAACCAUAAGAGUGCCUUGAGUCAUGGUAGAUCUGUAAAAAGUCCUUGCUAUCAGUCUCGUUCAAGUCAUUCCAGUAGUCCAUUACUGAAGCAAAGGAACAUCAAGUGGUCCAAUAUACCAUAUCCAUUAAAGUCAUCACCUAGUUCAUUAUCCCCGGUUUACAUUGAUUUAAGGAGUUCUACUAAAGAAUCUGCUAUAGAUUUAUCAUCAAAGUCUGACAAUGGUCUAAACAAUGCAGAUCAUUAUGUGAAACAAACUCACUCUAAUGAGAGAAGUGAGUGCAAUGAAUGCAUUCUCUGCGAAUCUGAUUCGCGACCUGAUAGUGAGUUCUCGCCUCAGUCUUCCAAUUUCACUCCAUCUGCAGAAUCACCGAGAAAAGAACCAUCAUGUACAGCUUGUAAUUGUUGUGAAGGUGUUUCUACAGACCAAUUACCAUUUGAUAAUUCUGGUAGAAAAGAAGAUGAAACCAUGACUAACAAAGAGUCUGAUGAUAACAGCCAACUUUCCUACACAUAUUGUAAUCUUCCAUACCAUUGUGCUUUACCAAAAUGCACCAAAGAUUAUACAUUAGAAGAGCACUUGUGCAAUAAAAGCAGCAUUAAUAAGAAUCAAGUAGACUGCCCUGAAUACAUCAUAAAUGAUAUUGAUGAAAAUAUGUGUGAGAAAAAUCCCAACUGGUGUAGCAAAGCAUCAUAUAUUCCUUAUUACUCUCAUUGUUAUCCGUACUAUGUUAGUUAUGGUGUAACAUCUCGAAAUUCUGCAGAAUCGACUGAUACGGAAGUAUCAGAAGCUCCAUUAGACUUAUCAUCUACUAAUGAAACAAAACCAGAGAAAUUGCCUAAUGUAGAAAAAAUAUCAGAAAAUUCCAGUGAAGAAGUAUCCCAAAAUGCAGAAGGAGGUCGAGGAAUGUUGUACCAGUUGUUAAAGAAUAAAAGUAAAUAGAGCUGUAUGUAUCAGCUUUUAUAUUUGUGCUGUAUAAAGUAAAUAAUCUGGAAAAUUGAACUCACCAUUCUGCACCAGUCAAAUUAUGAGUGUUAUUUUUUUAGCUGCAGAAUAAAAUCACUGAUUAUUAUUAAUUUUAUUUUCACAUAUUGACACUAUAAUAUACAAACUACUUUUUUAUCAACUGUAAAUUUUGUUUUAUUUUGUUUUUUGUUUAUUGAGGUAGAAAAUAAUAAUACUUUUCUAAACAUUUUGUAUUUACAAAAGAGCUUAUAUUUAUAUUUACAGCAUCAUGUCUUGUGACAAAUGUAAUAGUUUUUCACAUUAAAUUUAUUUGAACUCAAAGUUGCUGUUUGCAUAGUUUUGACUUUAGCUCGAACCAAUUUUUUUUUUUGACAUUAGAGGUAAUUUUAUAGAAAAAAAAUGUCUUUCUUUAUGAAUAAAAUAUUUAAAAAAAAUUGUUUUAUUACUGUUAUUUUGCUAUGAUUUCUCAUAAAAGUUUGUGUUAUUUAGUCAUUGAAAUUUCAAAUGUUGAAAUCCUAGGUAUAAUUGAGCACUUUAAAAAAAAAAUCUUAUUUUUUCAUAGUUGCUCAAAGUUUUCUAUUCAACUGUUUCUGACCUUUUCUUUUAAUUUUCGUUCUUUAUGACCUUUGAAAAUAUUUCUCUUUUCCUCCUUGUUUUGUACAUCAACAGUUUUAACAAUUUGGAAAGUGCUCCACUGGCAUCAUAGAACUCUCUCAGUCCUUAAAACCUUCUUAUUCAUCUCUUCACUGCAAUUUAUAUUUCGUUUAAAGUUUUCUGAUACACAUUUUUUUUUAUGGAGGAACCUUAGGUUGGCAUAUAAGUAGGAGAUGACUGUACUAAAAUAUGGCACAUUCUUCAUUCUCUAUUGGUGAAAAUUUGGUGAUUAUUUAAAAUAUUUUUAUAGCAAGUUUGUACCUUUAAUAUUUUGUUACCAGAAAGGAUCGUGAGAUUUUUUCUUCCACUCCUUUCAAUUUGGCAUUAUAAAGUGAUCUUUUAGUUUAUCAAAUGUUUCAGAGUAAUUAACCGAAACAGCCUUACAAACAGAGUAUAUCAGGUCGCAUAAUCUAGUGACUGGAUUGAAAGCAUUAUAGCAAAAUAUGUCUGAACACAUAAUUAAGUUAAAUAGCGCCAUGACCGGAAAUCUGUUUGUAAACUUGACACAAAGUGUCCUAAACGAACCUAGUCCUGUUAUUGUCUGGAAAGUAAAUAGCUGGUGUUAAAACAUGUUAGUAUCUUCUUUAUGGAAGAAAAAACACUUUUAAUUUAAUUUUCUAAAAGGAAGUGUAACAUUGAGUCUGUAUAGAAAAAUGUUUUCAAAAUUAAAGAUUUUAAUCUUAUAUUUUGAUACCUAUCUCAAACUCUCUUUUAAAUGUUUUAAUUAAACCAGGGAAUGAAGAUUCUUUUUUAAAGCUUCCGGUCAAACUAAAAUUUUUGCAUGCUGCAAUUUUGAGAAAAAUAUGAUAUAUAUUUAAGAGACGUAAUAAAAAAACUUCUCGCUGAACAAACUAUAAUAAAAUGUCAGGGCCUGUGCUAAGGACUUCAAAUUAUUAGCCAGACAUCAAAAGCAUUAGCCAAAUUUUAAAAUUCUUAGCCAACAGCAAAUCACAAAUGCUUUUCUAUGAUUAAAAUUUUUUAUAAUAGAUUUUUUCACAUAGAACACUGCAAAUCAAAAUACAAAUUUACUAUAAAUUGAAUCAUUCUAUAAAAUGCAAAUUCAAAUCAAGAGUUAUUUUGCAGUUGGGAAGGAGUAAAAGAGCAAUGAAUGGGUGAGAGGAUGAAAAAUGUAGAUUUUUAAUUGUCUUUGAGGGAAAGAAAUAGGUCUAGGUUGAGGUUAAUUUUUAAUUACUUCUUAGACUAAAGCAGUAAUAUAAAGAUAAGCCUUAGGCAACAUUAUGUUAUUGCCACAUUAUUGUAUAUGUUAUAGUCAUGAGAAAACAUAUUUUUUGCAAAAAUAUUUGGAUGAUAGUAUGACAUCUUGCUACCACAUCUGUUUUAUUGACGCAAACUAUAAAUUUCGUCCCGUUGUAUCGCGUGUUCUAAACUCAAUACAACUCUAAUCGGUUAUUAGAUGUAUGUAUCUAACAGAAAUUACUAUAAUCGAAUAAAAAAAUACAGGAUUCGUCUAGAAAAAUUCUCUUUUACCUUUUUUUUUUAGGAUUGAGAGUAAUAUAUUAAUUUUUUUGGACUAUAAAAAAUCAUUGGCCAAAACUUUCAUCAAAGCACAAUCUUCUUUCUUCCUCCAAAUUUACGAUUUUUUCGCAUUUGGCGAGGUGGUGAAUGCUUAGCACUGGCCCUUAAUAUUAAAAAUAGAAAAGUACAUUAAUUUAAAAAAUAACAUUAACUUAAAAAAAUAUAAGGAAUGUGUUGUCCCAAUUUAUAGUGCUUAAACGCAAAACUUCAUCUUAAAAAUAGGGAAUUUUAAUUUGAAACAAAGCAUUUUACUAGACAAAACCGAGCCCAUCUGAAUAUUUAGUCACUAAUGGUGAACAGAAGUUUCAAGCCCUGAAUUAAAGUAUUAUUUUAUUUUUCAGAAAAAUCCUAACAACAGUUAACAUUUAUGCCUGAGCAGAUUUUAAAUUGUUUUUCUACUCAUUUAAUUAACACUUCAAACUUCAAUCUUAUCUAUUUCUGUACAGAAUUGCAUUGAGAUAAACAGUAUUGACAUAAAGUACAAGCCUAUCAUUAAACCCAGAUUGUUGACUCUAAUAGUAAAGAAAAGUUACAAAUUGUUAAAUUACAAAAACUGAUAAAAGUUAAGAUACAUUGACUUUGUUUCAGUUAUAAUGAAGGUUUAAAAACCUUAGUCCAUAAUCUAUAUGAGUUUUACAGAUUUUAUUUUUAAUGUGUUUUCUAUUUUUAAUUUGUUUAACAUAUUAUUUAUUUAGUCAAGCCAUUAUUAUAAUAAUAUAUAAUAAGUUGUAUGUUAACAUAGACAGGAAAUUAAUUGCGGAGAGCAGAAUAAUGCAAAAACUAAAGCAACAUCAAAGAAACCAUAUUAUUUAGGUAAAAAAUUGGCCUACACUGUUUAGUGAUUUCUAAUUUUGUAUAAUUUUUUGCUUGAAUAAAAUCUAUAUAUAUAUAUAUAUAUAGGAAAUGAAUCAAUAAAUACAACAUGAAAUAUGAAUUAUCCGCAACUUAAAUUCAUAAAUGAUUCUUCUAUCAUAUGAUUUGUCCAAUAAAUACAUUUGCAAACGUACAAUAUUUUUAUUAAAUUAAAAUUAUUGUGAUAACAGUGUGUAAGUUUAUUAAAAUUUGAUAUAAUAACAAAAACAAGACUUUUUUUUUUUACUUAAAUUUUUGCCUAAAUUAUAUUUACUUAAAUUAUUUAAAAUCACAUGACUAUGAAUGUUUUUUUGUGCCUCAUCUUUCUUUUAAUCAAACAAGAAAAUUAAUCAUGUUGUCCAAACUUGCCAAGGACUGGAUAGUGGAAAAUUUUGUUUCAUUACUCAAUUUUUUUUUAUUUUGUCUUUACAUUGACCUUUUGUAAAGAUUAAAGUAUAAAAAAAAUUUAGUACAAAUUUUAUAAAAAAUUUAUUAUAUAACUUUUCGUAUGGUUUUUUAUUUUUAUUUAUAAAAACUGAUAAGGCUAAAGACAGUUUAAUCAGUUUAAAAAAAAAAAAUAUUAUAAAUUUUACAGGAUUAUUCUUAAAUUGUGAUUAACAGUUGCAUGUAACCUAUUAUAAAUCUAAAUAUACUUUCUGUAAAACAUUAAAGAUUAAUAGUUUUUUAAAAAGCAAAUAUCAUAACUUUUUUGAACGACAUUUGACUUAUUGCAUAUGAUUAUAAUGCGACCAUAUUUUUAUAUUACAACUGUUUUUGUGAAAUUUUUUUAAUUUUAUUUGUUAAAUGUCAGCCUGGCCUUGCUUUUUAGUUUUUGUAGUGUGGUUACAAGUGCCUUUAUCAGAAGAAAGACUAGUGUCUCUACAAAUCUAAUCACGCACUUGUGUUACUUGUUUCUUCAUUAGAUGAAAUCAUAGUAUUCAGAAUUUUAUUUAUACUUAUAGUAAUUUUUUUCCUUUUUUGUGAAUCUUAUGUAUAUAGGCCAAUUGUAAUUUUUUAUCUUUUAUGUUAUAUUUAUUUUCAUUAAAUAUUGUACAUUUUAGAUUUGAGACUUAA